AAAUAGUCCUGAUGUGAAAGCCCGAAGCUCACCUCGGAAUGGCAUCUGGAAACUGGUUAACUUUGAGUGCAAUAAGGUAAGUGGAACUUCCUCGUGUAGCGGUGAAAUGCGUAAAUAUUGGAAGAACACCAGUGGCGAAGGCGGCUUACUGGACUGCAACUGACGUUGAGGCUCGAAAGUGUGGGUAGCAAACAGGAUUAGAUACCCUGGUAGUCCACACCGUAAACGAUGAACGCUAGGUGUUAGGAGGUUUCCGCCUCUUAGUGCCGAAGCUAACGCAUUAAGUGUUCCGCCUGGGGAGUACGACCGCAAGGUUGAAACUCAAAGGAAUUGACGGGGACCCGCACAAGCGGUGGAGCAUUGG
rnacentral:rRNA from 1 species